UGGAUAUGUGCACGGUAUUUGACCAAUUACGGGGCCGGUAUGUUAUAAUACUUGUCACGUAUGCGGUCGAACACCUUCGGUGCCGAACCUUCGGGUAAGGUAUGUGUGCAUGUUCAUUUUCUGCGCUCUGUUAGUUUACUAAUAGAGCAUCGCAACUGUAAAGAAAUCAACGUGCUUCAAGCAGGCUCUGUUGGGCUUCGGCUCUUGUGCUUGUAUGAUUCAGUACGGGAUUGUCUUUCACUGUGGAUAGUCACCUUUCGGGGUGUCUAUUUACAGUAUUUGCAAUGUGAAGCAGGGUGAGGGCUCAAGUACUAUGGUGCUAGAGGUGAAAUUUAGAUACCACCAUAUGACUAUCUGAUGCGAAAGCGGUUAGCCCACCACACUUCAGUCGAUCAGGAGCGAAAGUUAGGGGAUCGAAGAUGAUUAGAUACCGUCGUAGUCCUAACUGUAAACGAUACCAACAAAAGAUUGGUAGCGAAACCUUUUAUGAUCCUCUCAGAAUUCAAAGGAAACUUUUAAGUCUUUGGGUUCUGGGGGGAGUAUAGUCGCAAGGCCGAAACUUAAAGGAAUUGACGGAAAGGCACCACCAGGAGUGGAGUUUGCGGCUUAAUUCGACUCAACGCGGGAAAACUUACUAGAACAUGACAGAGGUAUGAUUGACAGAUUAACGAUCUUUCUUGAUUCUCUGGAUGGUGGUGCAUGGCCGUUCUUAGUUCGUGGAGUGAUUUGUCUUGUUAAUUCAGUAAACGAACGAGACCUUAUCUUACUAAAUAGCUUAAUAAUUGGACUUGUCCAAUGGUUUAUAAAAGCAUGCCGUACGGUAUGUUCUAGUAAACUUAACAUGGUGACUUGUCACCGGCUUCUUAGAAGGACAACACAUCGUACUGUAGUGUGGGGAAGUUUAAGGCAAUAACAGGUCUGUGAUGCCCUUAGAUGCUCUAGGCAGCACGCGUACUACACUAUUAAUACUAAUAUGCCAAAAAUUGAACCACUUGUGGUUCAAAACCUUGCCUUAACAGGUUGGGAAAUCAUAUCAAACAUUAAUGUGACAGGGAUAGCUGAUUGGAACUUCGGCUUCAACGAGGAAUUCCUAGUAAUCGCAAUUCAUCAUAUUGCAAUGAUUACGUCCCUGCCUUUUGUACACACCGCCCGUCGCUCCUAUCGAUGGGAUAGAAAGGUGAAUUUGACGGACUGAACUAGCCAGUUUAGAAAAUCAACUGAACCUUUUUAUCUGUAGAAAGGAGAAGUCGUAACAAGGUUUUCGUAGGUGAACCUGCAGAAGGAUCAAGCUUGGAAUCCCGGGA
rnacentral:rRNA from 1 species